rnacentral:rRNA from 1 species
GUGCCAGCCGCCGCGGUAAUACCGGCAGCCCGAGUGAUGGCCGAUCUUAUUGGGCCUAAAGCGUCCGUAGCUGGCCGCGCAAGUCCAUCGGAAAAUCCACCUGCCCAACAGGUGGGCGUCCGGCGGAAACUGUGUGGCUUGGAACCGGAAGGCUCAGAGGGUACGUCCGGGGUAGGAGUGAAAUCCCGUAAUCCCGGACGGACCACCGAUGGCGAAAGCACUCUGAGAAGACGGCUUCGACAGUGAGGGACGAAAGCUGGGAUCUCGAACCGGAUUAGAUACCCCUGUAGUCC